rnacentral:rRNA from 1 species
CCUACGGGUGGCAGCAGUGAGGAAUAUUGGUCAAUGGACGAGAGUCUGAACCAGCCAAGUAGCGUGAAGGAUGACUGCCCUAUGGGUUGUAAACUUCUUUUAUAAAGGAAUAAAACGAGGCACGUGUGCCUUUUUGCAUGUACUUUAUGAAUAAGGAUCGGCUAACUCCGUGCCAGCAGCCGCGGUAAUACGGAGGAUCCCAGCGUUAUCCGGAUUUAUUGGGUUUAAAGGGAGCGUAGAUGGGUUGGUAAGUCAGUUGUGAAAGUUUGGGGCUCAACCGUAAAAUUGCAAUUGAUACUGGCAGUCUUGAGUACAGUGGAGGUAGGCGGAAUGCGUGGUGUAGCGGUGAAAUGCUUAGAUAUCACGAAGAACCCCGAUUGCGAAGGCAGCUUACCAAACUGUGACUGACAUUGAGGCUCGAAAGUGUGGGUAUCAAACAGGAUUAGAUACCCUGGUAGUC